rnacentral:rRNA from 1 species
CUGGGAAUCGUGCGCAAUGGGCGAAAGCCUGACGCCGCGACGCCGCGUGUAGGAUGAAGGCCUUAGGGUUGUAAACUACUUUUAUAGUCGCCGAAAGACGACUUUGAAUAAGCACCCGCUAACUACGUGCCAGCAGCUGCGGUAAGACGUAGGGUGCGAGCGUUACCCGGAUUUAUUGGGCGUGAAGAGUGCGUAGGUUUUUCGGUAAGUUGCGUUUUAAAGACCGGGGCUUAACUCCGGGAAUGGGCGCAAUACUGCCGGAAUUGAAGGACUUAGGGGCUACUGGAACUUAUCAUGUAGGGGUGAAAUCCGUUGAUAUGAUAAGGAACGCCAAGGGCGAAGGCAGGUAGCUGGGGGUUUCCUUAAAAAGGACUCCGCUGAUCCGCAAGGUGAAACGGAG